AGCAGUGGGGAAUUUUGGACAAUGGGCGCAAGCCUGAUCCAGCAAUGCCGCGUGAGUGAAGAAGGCCUUCGGGUUGUAAAGCUCUUUUGUCAGGGAAGAAACGGUGAGGGCUAAUAUCCCUUGCUAAUGACGGUACCUUAAGAAUAAGCACCGGCUAACUACGUGCCAGCAGCCGCGGUAAUACGUAGGGUGCAAGCGUUAAUCGGAAUUACUGGGCGUAAAGCGUGCGCAGGCGGUUUUGUAAGUUUGUCGUGAAAGCCCCGGGCUCAACCUGGGAAUUGCGAUGAAGACUGCAAGGCUUGAAUCUGGCAGAGGGGGGGUAGAAUUCCACGUGUAGCAGUGAAGAUGCGUAGAGAUGUGGAGGAACACCGAUGGCGAAAGCAGCCCCCUGGGGUCAAGAUUGACGCUCAUG
rnacentral:rRNA from 1 species